UGUUGCGUGCCAGUUGUAUUUAAAAUAUUCUCUAUCUCGCCCCUGUUCUCUUGUUAAUCAAAGUAAACAUAUUGUGAUGACUGUAAACUCCCAGAACACCUCUCUGACAAUAACUGGAGUGAAUUACACUGAUUCAGGACUGUAUUACUGUGGCAUUCCGCGAAGCACUCACAUUUCCUUCAGCAAUGCUACAUAUGUACAUGUGAUAGGUAACAUUUUGUGAUGACUCUCAUUACAUUACUCAUUAACAAAUAUUUAUGUUGUUUUAAAGAUGUUUCUGUAUUAUGAUGUCCUUUAUUGAAUCAUGUGACUGUCUUAGUCAAUAAAACAAUUUUGUUUCAGAGCGAAAUGAAACACAUUUCAAAAGAAAAUUUAAAGAAGAGAAAAGUGAAACACCAUCCAAGACCAGUUCUGUAGCUCACUGCUUUUCCGAAGUCUACUUCAUGCUGACAGUGGUGUUCGGUGGUGUGAUUGUGAUUCUCAUCAGUGUUCUUCUAGUCAUGUUGAAGAGGAGAAAACAACACCAAGACGAAACUGACGAUAAAGUACAACAAGAGAAAGAGG